UACAGAGGUCUCAAGCGUUGUUCGGAUUCAUUGGGCGUAAAGGGUGCGUAGGUGGCGCGUUAAGUCAGGUGUGAAAUUUCGGAGCUUAACUUCGAAACUGCAUUCGAUACUGCCGUGCUUGAGGACUGGAGAGGAGACUGGAAUUUACGGUGUAGCGGUGAAAUGCGUAGAUAUCGUAAGGAAGACCAGUGGCGAAGGCGGCGACCUGGUUCGAUACUGACACUGAGGUGCGAAAGCGUGGGGAGCAAACAGG
rnacentral:rRNA from 1 species